rnacentral:RNase_P_RNA from 1 species
GCUUUAGCGCAGACGGUCGCCGGUCGCGCCUCCUCGGAGGGGCGGCGGGAGGAAAGUCCGGGCAUCACAGGGCAGGGUGGUCGGUAACACCGACCGGGGGCGACCCCAGGGAGAGUGCCACAGAGAGAUACCGCCGCGCGCCUUAGCGCGGUAAGGGUGAAAAGGUGAGGUAAGAGCUCACCGGGGCGGCGGUGACGUCGCUCGUCCAGGUAAACCCCACCCGAUGCAAGGUAAACAGAGGCUGAGCGCCCUUUUGGAGCGCUCCGGGGUGCCCGCCCCGCGGCCUCAGGUAACCGCUUGAGCCUUAUGGCAACGUAAGGCCUAGAUGAAUGACCGUCACCGCGCCUUGAGCGCGGGACAAAACCCGGCUUAUCGCGCUAAAGCGAGA